CACCGAAGAUCUGGAACCUCUACCUCACAAUCAAGAAGCGAGCUCAAAGAAAUCACUGGGUUAUACUAGCUCGUAAUCAGGAUAUGGGAUAUUGGAGACAGGCCGAGAUCAGAUACGUGUCGGUCCAGUUAGAGGCUGGUUUCUUUGCUGCUUUGUGUGCUUCGGUGCGCAUUGCUGUGGAGUCACUGGACUCUGACCGCGAUCGAUCGUGGGUGGUUUCAGCUGUUAGUGUUGCAUGGCCAGCAACGCGCGUGGCCUUGCUCUCCGUUGCGUCAAGCGGCUGUGCUUCCAUUGUUUGGCGCACGACGGCUAAAUCAGAACUGGCACGGAACAGGGGAAUCCAACUGUCUAAUUAAAACAAAGCAUUGCGAUGUCCACUGACCGGUUAUGACGCAACGUGAUUUCUGCCCAGUGCUCUGAACGUCAAAGUGAAGAAAUUCAAUCAAGCGCGGGUAAACGGCUGGAGCGCUGCGUUUUGCUCGUGGAAUUUGGAUUACUUUUUCUUUCUCCUAGCUG
rnacentral:ncRNA from 1 species